CAAUAUGGAGUAAAUCGGUGGAGUCGAGAGAUGGGGCUCGGACGGGGCGCCCUGCACCGCCUCCCAGGCGCACCUCCCCCAGCCGCCGACCGCUCCCCGGAACCGUGAUUGGCCCGGCCCCCCGGGGCGACCCCGCACCGAGCCCCCACCCGCGGCCGGCCCUCUCCUCCUCCUCCUCUCAGCAGUCCCCGUCGCCCCACGGCGCGCUUGUUUUUCUCCUCCUCUCCCCAGCGCCGUCCCCUGCCCAAAUCUCUCCCCCUCCGCCCGCUCCCGAAGCCCCCGAACCCCGCCCGCCUCGCCCCUCGGCGCUGCGACGCUCACUCCCCCCGCAGCUUGCCUUUGCACCCCUUUCCCCAAACCUCACCCCGCGCUCCGGUCGCCCUGCUUCCCCUUCUGCCUUCUGCGGCGCCCCCUUCAUCUGUAGCCGCCCCCCCCCAACCAAAUCAGGCGAUCUCCGGAGAUGUGAAGAAGGAGGGUGAGCGGACAGGAAGAUGAAGGGAGCAAAGCUGCCCGCCGCGGGACAGGCGUCUAGGUGAACAGGAAAAUGACCGAAGAAACACACCCGGACGAUGACAGCUAUAUUGUGCGUGUCAAGGCUGUGGUUAUGACCAGAGAUGACUCCAGCGGGGGAUGGUUCCCACAGGAAGGAGGCGGGAUCAGUCGCGUGGGGGUCUGUAAGGUCAUGCACCCCGAAGGCAAUGGACGAAGCGGCUUUCUCAUCCAUGGUGAACGACAGAAAGACAAACUGGUGGUAUUGGAAUGCUAUGUACGAAAGGACUUGGUCUACACCAAAGCCAACCCAACCUUUCAUCAUUGGAAGGUCGACAAUAGGAAGUUUGGACUUACUUUCCAAAGCCCUGCUGACGCGCGAGCCUUUGACAGGGGAGUGAGGAAAGCAAUCGAAGACCUUAUAGAAGGCUCAACAACAUCAUCUUCCACCAUCCAUAAUGAAGCUGAGGUUGGUGAUGAUGACGUUUUUACGACAGCUACAGACAGUUCUUCUAAUUCCUCUCAGAAGAGGGAACAACCUCCUCGGACAAUCUCCUCUCCCACAUCCUGUGAGCACCGGAGGGUUUAUACCCUGGGCCACCUCCACGACCCAUACCCCACGGACCACUAUCCCCUCGAACAGCCGAUGCCGAGGCCCUACCGCCAGGUGAGCUUCCCGGACGACGACGAGGAGAUCGUGCGCAUCAACCCCAGGGAGAAGAUCUGGAUGACGGGCUAUGAGGAUUACCGGCACGCGCCCGUGCGGGCCAAGUACCUGGACACCUCGGAGGACGCGGACUCCUACGUGCGCUUCGCCAAGGGCGAGGUCCCCAAGCACGACUACAACUACCCCUACGUGGACUCCUCAGACUUUGGCCUCGGCGAGGACCCCAAAGGGCGCGGGGGUGGCGUGAUCAAGACACAGCCGUCCCGGGGCAAGUCCCGGCGGCGGAAGGAGGACGGCGAGCGCUCCCGGUGCGAGUACUGCAGGGACAUGUUCAACCACGAGGACAACCGGAGGGGCCACUGUCAGGACGCGCCCGACUCCGUGAGAACUUGCAUCCGCCGGGUGAGCUGUAUGUGGUGUGCAGACAGCAUGCUCUACCACUGUAUGUCGGACCCCGAGGGAGACUAUACAGACCCGUGCUCGUGCGAUACUAGCGACGAGAAGUUUUGCCUCCGGUGGAUGGCUCUUAUUGCCUUGUCUUUCUUGGCCCCUUGCAUGUGCUGUUACCUGCCCCUUCGGGCCUGCUACCACUGCGGAGUGAUGUGCAGGUGCUGCGGAGGGAAGCACAAAGCAGCCGUGUGACUCCGGGCCCUUCCCCCCGCCCCCCAUCCACAGCCACAAGGGACCUUGUCUUCGCCACACUAUCAUCUUCUCCCCUGCUCCCUGGUGCCACCAUUGCAGCCUGGGGAACCUACCCGCUGGACUCUGCACUCCCCUCCGCCACCCACUCUGCGUCAGCGACACACCCCUACACGCAGCACACAGUGUUCUAAGGAAAGGAACCUCCACGCAGACCUUCGUGUGUUAUUAACAAUCUGUAAUCAAGCUGUCUUCUCCACAUUGAUUUUCCUGUCUUUCCUCCCCACCUCUUCCAGUUCAAAGGCACCUGUAGUCGGAACUCCUGAUUUUUGAGGGUUGUUGUAGUUGGUGUUUUCCAAGAGCAUGGAAGACUCUCUUUCUCUUGGUUCGGCUUGCCUGUUGGUCCUGAGCAUUGUCGGGUUCCUGUGGAAAUGUGAUGUCAGAAGGAUGAAACCCACCAGAAGUAUUUUAACCUGCAGUCAGUUAUUAUGUAUAGGAGGGGAGACAGACGGCAGCUCCUCUGGCUCGGAUGCCUCAAGUGAAAGGAAUGCUGCAUGUCACCGCCCAGGGAACACCGCCUCUUCCUAGGCCUAGCUUCCCCCACGCGUGCUCCUCAGAGGGAACAGCUGUGCUUCCUCCAAGUUGUUUUCCACCGAUUCCUGCUGAACCUCAGGUGGGUGUGUGUGUGGAGUUUGGAAGACAGUUUCUCACAGAAAACAACUGUUAAAACUGCAAGACCCUUGGUCUCCUCAGAGUGGUUCUAUUUCACCAACACUUGGCCCACUUUCCCUUCCAAAUGGGCUCUUUGGAUGCUCAAAAGUUACAGUGACAAUCCCUUGGAGGAAAUAAAGUGUGGGGUCUUUUAAAGGUCACAGAGGAAAGUUUCAGCUCUUUCUCUAGAGAACUGAGUUUGGGGCCUUAAAAAGAGAUGUGUAGAGGGGCCCCUCCAUCUUAGUUUUAACUGUUCCCUAAAGCAGUGACUUUUCCAAGGCACUGGCAAAGGUGAAAAUCAACAGGAGAUGCUGGAAAUUGGAAAGUGAGAGGAGAGAAGCCAUAAGGAUUGGUAAUUAAGAGAUUAUUAGAGAACUUAAUGAAAGUUGCUUCGUUAGAGUCGGAGGGGCGUAAACCAGAUUAUAGUGGGGUGAAGAGUCAAGAUGGAGGAAGUAAAAACGUCAAAUGGAAAACAUGUUUUCAAGAAGUUUGAUGCUAGAGGAAUAAUGGGAUUGCUCUGAAGUAGAACUGAGAAAUUAAGUUAAUAUCUGCCAAGAUAAUAUGUAUGCAUUUACUUGUUCUUAUGACAGUUAAUCCUGAAUAAACUGUUCUCAUAAAAACAGAAGGGAGAAGAGAACUUGGAAGGUGCCUCUAAGAGCUGCAGCAGGAAAGAAGUGCUGAGAUCUUCCUUGACCCUUGUGCCCCCCUGCAUGUCCCUCCCGUUAUCCCUGUUUACAGUUGAGGAACUGAGGCUUAGAAAACGUAAGUAAGGUAAGCUGCAGUCACAUGAAGCGAGAGCUGAACCCGGCCUGAGCCCGGGUCCUUUCCUGGCCUCGCUCUGAUUCCUCUGCUCACCCUCCUCCCUGUUUGUGGGCUUGAAAAGUGGACACCGGUCAAGAGCCUUGCCCAGUCCUCCCUGUUCUCUCAGGCCCAUCAGGCUGCUUCAGGAUUAGCCUGUCCUCUUUCAUGCCUGGCGUGCUCAGCCAGGAGCUGGACGCACUACGUGCGUCACCUUUAACUCCCUGUGAAGUAGAGUGUUCAUGUCCACCUCACAGGUGAGGAAGCAGGCGUAGAGAAACUACACUCGCCCUUUCAGGGUCGCUGGACAGUCUGCCAUUACUAGCCAUUAGCCCUUGGGCAAGUGACUUCGCCUUUGUGAGCCUAGGUUUCCUCAGGUAUAACAAGUGGAGUAAUACCGUCAGCACUUCAAGAAGGUUCAAUGAUACGCUGUAGUUACAGUGUAGUACACGGGAGGUGCUUCCAACUGCUAGUUCUUUCCUCAGUUCCUCCUUUAUCCUGGGACCCUGAGGAAACAUCAGAAACUAGAGAGGACGGUCUCUUUUGAAGCACACGUGGCUGAAGCGAUGAUGCAUAUUUGGGGAAUAUUUAGACUUACGACAUAGAUGUUGAGAUUUCUUUUUCUUAAUCUCUCUGCAAUUCUAAAGUAGGUUUUGAUUCCUUGCCUGCCUUCGCGGAUAUGUUCGUGGCCCAUAGCUGCAGAAGUGCACUAGGCUGGCCGGAUUCCUCGGGAGCCAGUGCAUGCAACUUGGAGAAAGUUGGUGGCUUCUGUCAGAGCAGUUCCGCCAAGAGGGCUGGACCCGGCUCAGCGUACUUGACCAGGGUUGGAGCACAUUGUCUUGCCGAGUUCUGCCUUCCUGAACCUUCCAGCCCCUCUUUUGUGGCGUUUAGGUCGCCCCCUACAAGUCAGUGCCCUCAUCUCCUGGGUCUCUGCGCCUCCCUGCUGCUGUCCCCACUGCUGGUUACCACCCCACCCCCACAAUGGUGGGCACCCCCCAGAAAACCAGGACAUCGUCCCAGAGGAAAAAGUGUUGUUGGAAGAAUUCUGUUUUACAAGCACUCCCAGGGUGGUUUGUUAUUUUAACGGCUUUCGAGCAGGCAGUCACAGGGCCGGCCAUGUGAACGAGGGACCAGCGCUUGUAAAAGUGUGCCAGCUGCUUGCAGAACUCCUUAUUGCAGCCCUGGUGGACUUGCUGAUUUGUGGAGUGAGAUGGUUGGAAAUAUCACACUUUGUUUGUUUGUUUAGGCCUAAACCAGAUGGGUGGACUGAAGGGAGAUGACCCUGGUGACAUUUUGCACAACCAGAUACCAGUUGUGACCUAGCAAAUCGGGGCCCACCUGUCUCCUCAGCUAGAGCAGCCACCGGUGCUAGUGGUUCCCUCAAGGCAAGCUGACCACCUAAAGGGCAGUGUGGAGUGGGGCCAGGGUGGGGCGAUUAGGAGGAGGUAGGCUCUGUAUAUUUAUGAAGGAGGAAUAAAACCAACUAUGUGAUAGUCAUGCCUGGUAUCCUUUUCUUCUCAUUAUGUCUCUUCUCUCAUUUUUUUUUUCAAAAAUUGGUCGGAGGGCCUCUGAUUAUAGAAGUAACACACAGAGUCAUUGUAAAAAUGUCAUACACUACAAAAAUAUGAAAAUGAGUCUCCUUGUAUUAGUUUGCUAGGGCUGCCGUAACAAAGUACACAGACUAAGUGGCUUACACAACGGAAAUUGAUUGUCUCAGUUCUGGAGGCUGGAAGUCCAAAAUCAAGGUGUGGGUUGGUCUGUGAGGGAAGGAUCUGUUCCAAGCCUGUCUCCUUGGCUUGGAAAUGGCUACCUUCUCCCUAUGUCUGUUCACAUUAUCUUCCUUCCAUAUGUGUCUCUGUGUCCAAAUUUCCUCUUUUUAUAAGGCUAUCAGUCAUGUUGGAUUAAGGCCCACCCUAAUGACCUAACUUUAACUUAAUUACCUCUGUAAAGACCCUAUCACCAAAUAAGGUCCCAUUCUGAGGUACUAGAGGUUAGGACACCAUAUGAAUUUAGGGGAGACACAAUUCAACCCAUAACACUCCUCUAUCCUACCGAAAGUAAGCGCUGUGUGUCCUUUUGGACCUUUCUAUGCAUAUGUACGCAGAUGUGUGUAUGUGUGUAU